AUCAUCAUCAUUUUCUUGCAUAAACCAUGCCUAUGUAUAUAACACCAAUUAUUGAAAUUCUACUAAUAUUUCAAACAAAAAUAAAUGGGUUUUUUAUUAAAACUAAAUAAUUAAACUAACCGUACCUCAAUCGCCAUGGGAGUCGAAAAUUUUGAGAUACAACUCGCUCACUCGAUUGCUUAGGUCAAUGGUUGGUAAGGGCUAAAAAAAUUCAUAAUUGUUUGGAUUUAUUUGAGGCCAUUUGCUUGGUAUUUUGCCAUAUGGGAGAUUAUUGUCCAUCCGAUUUUGGUGGUAUCGAUUUAUUUAACCUUAUGUGAUGCUUAUAAAAAAAAUCUACAGAUUAUUUUGAGAAUGAAAAUUCUAGAGCAAG
rnacentral:lncRNA from 1 species